GCCCCCACAACUUUGAUGAAAAAUAAGAAUACUAAACCCUAAAUAGCCAACUUCCUGUUGGGCGGAGCCUAUGACAUGCAGUACGAAAGUUGUUUGGCUUGAUGAGAUCUAUAUGUGUACCGAGUUUCAUACGUCUACGUGCAAGUAUGUAUGAUAUAUGGCCCUCCAUAUUCCAGGGGGCGCUGUAGAGCCCCUGUGCCACGCCCGUGUAUCAGUCUCUGCCCGGCCCUAAUGGCCGCAGGUUCCAAUGUGUGUG
ensembl:lncRNA